GGUUAAGCGACUAAGCGUACACGGUGGAUGCCCUGGCAGUCAGAGGCGAUGAAGGACGUGCUAAUCUGCGAAAAGCGUCGGUAAGGUGAUAUGAACCGUUAUAGCCGGCGAUGUCCGAAUGGGGAAACCCAGUGCAAUUCGUUGCACUAUCGUUAACUGAAUACAUAGGUUAACGAGGCGAACCGGGGGAACUGAAACAUCUAAGUACCCCGAGGAAAAGAAAUCAACCGAGAUUCCCCCAGUAGCGGCGAGCGAACGGGGAGCAGCCCAGAGUCUGAAUCAGCUUGUGUGUUAGUGGAACGGUCUGGAAAGUCCGACGGUACAGGGUGAUAGUCCCGUACACCAAAAUGCACAGGUUGUGAACUCGAAGAGUAGGGCGGGACACGUGGUAUCCUGUCUGAAUAUGGGGGGACCAUCCUCCAAGGCUAAAUACUCCUGACUGACCGAUAGUGAACCAGUACCGUGAGGGAAAGGCGAAAAGAACCCCGGCGAGGGGAGUGAAAAAGAACCUGAAACCGUGUACGUACAAGCAGUGGGAGCACCUUCGGGUGUGACUGCGUACCUUUUGUAUAAUGGGUCAGCGACUUAUAUUCUGUAGCAAGGUUAACCGUAUAGGGGAGCCGCAGGGAAACCGAGUCUUAACUGGGCGUUAAGUUGCAGGGUAUAGACCCGAAACCCGGUGAUCUAGCCAUGGGCAGGUUGAAGGUUGGGUAACACUAACUGGAGGACCGAACCGACUAAUGUUGAAAAAUUAGCGGAUGACUUGUGGCUGGGGGUGAAAGGCCAAUCAAACCGGGAGAUAGCUGGUUCUCCCCGAAAGCUAUUUAGGUAGCGCCUCGUGAACUCAUCUUCGGGGGUAGAGCACUGUUUCGGCUAGGGGGUCAUCCCGACUUACCAACCCGAUGCAAACUACGAAUACCGAAGAAUGUUAUCACGGGAGACACACGGCGGGUGCUAACGUCCGUCGUGAAGAGGGAAACAACCCAGACCGCCAGCUAAGGUCCCAAAGUCAUGGUUAAGUGGGAAACGAUGUGGGAAGGCACAGACAGCCAGGAUGUUGGCUUAGAAGCAGCCAUCAUUUAAAGAAAGCGUAAUAGCUCACUGGUCGAGUCGGCCUGCGCGGAAGAUGUAACGGGGCUAAACCAUGCACCGAAGCUGCGGCAGCGACACUAUGUGUUGUUGGGUAGGGGAGCGUUCUGUAAGCCUGCGAAGGUG
rnacentral:rRNA from 1 species